GAGCCAGCCUGCCCGGCUUCCUCUCUCCCUAACCCCAGCUACGUGGCUUCAGGCAGCUGCUUAACCUUUCUGGACUCAGCUUCCUAAUCUGGAAAUAGAGAUAGUAAAAGCACCUGCUUUAUGGGAGUGUGGUGGGGGUUAAAUGAGAUAAUAUAUGCAAAACACAUAGAAACAGGGCCCACCACAUAGCCAGUGUUCCCCAUUACUAUUAGUAUUGUUCAAGGCCAUUCAGGUAGGAGGGGGAACAGCAGAGUUUUCUACAGACCGCAUGGGGCUGGCCCCUGCCUCCUCCCAGCUCACCUUGGCCCUGAGUAGGAUCAGACCUACUGAUCGGGGCUGACGAAGAAGGAACUGUGCAUCACCACCAGGGCUGUUCUUUGCUGCAAGCACGUUACAUAUUGUGGCAUGCUGUGUUUUCCCCUCGUGGUGCAAGAUGUUGACUCAGAGGGGCAUUCUGGGGAAAUGAGUUUCUUGGAUUUGCCCACCUCAUUGCCCCUGUGUUCUUUUGAAUGUCUCUGAAUCAGACUUUAUAUCUAGCUCUACCAUUCAGCAACCUUAUUUAUGCAGAAAACAACCCCACAUUUCCAACUUGCUCAGCAGCUGUAAAGAUUCAUCUUUGGCCCCGGGGAGGGUAGCAAAGGAGGGAAGGAUAAAAAGAAAAAGGAAAGAAAGAAAGAAAAAGGAAGAAAGAAAGCAAGCCAGCAACAAUCCAAACAACCCUUUUCUCCCUGUGUAAUCUGGGCAGCUUCCAGGAGGAUAAUGUCUUUCCACCUCAGCAGAUGUUUGCUGAGCACCUGCUAUGUGCCAGAUCCUGUGCUUGUGGGAGGACCCAGUGGAGAGCCACAGCCAUGUGUUUACCCGCAGCCUUUGGGGAGCAAGAGAGAAAACAAAGCAAACAAGUAAGAAAAACGUCCUGUGAUAUAUAUGCAAAGGUGGUCAGCAGGCUGAAGCCAACCCCGUGUGGUACCUGCUCCCACUGCUUCUGAGGAAAGGAAGGUGAUGUUGUAAACUAUGCACUGACUCUUAAAGACCUACCUGCCUGGGAGUGACUUCGGUCACUUCUGCUCUUGUCUCAUUGGCCAAAGCAAGUCACUCGGCCUGCUGACAUUCAAAGCCAGCUAGAGGUGCAAUCAUACCAUAAGCCUGGAGGAAGAGGGGAGCUGAAAUCUGCACGAGCAGCCCCAUGAGCGCCAUGACAGGCAACCGCAGCAAACAGUGAGGCCAAAACAAGGGAACCUGACUAGAGCUUAUUUCUGGAGCCCAUACAUUGAGGAGCAAUCACAGGCCUGAUUCUUGCUGAUGGAAAGUCACCAGAAGUGAGGUACCACCACUGGUCCAAGGCAGUUAAAAGCAGAUGUUUCUCUGUCACACAUUCCACUGAAGAGCUGCCCUCCCUGACAGUCAAUUUCCCUCCUUUCCUUCCUAACAUCCUGCUGCCACCAAGGAAGCCCUUUGUCCAUUGUGCUGCCUUAGUGGGAGAGAGGGUUCAGAGGAGAAUCAAAUUUCCUUUCCGCAUCUGUUUGCUGGCACCCGGUGCACCCUGGGAGGCUAACACAAAGUGACAGAUGAGCUUCGAUUGGCUGGAAUGUGUGGAGAACCACUGGACCAGGCAAAAGAAAGCAUCGGAAAUGAGCCAGGGAAGAGGAAAGAGGCUUCACUUCAUGAAAGCCUGAACAGAAUCCAGUCCAAACCGGCCACCACACCCGGAUGAGGUGCUCUGCAGUGCUCAAAGUGAUUCGCAUCCGUUAUCUCCCAGGACCUGCAGUCAGGCCUGCACAGCAGACUCGUGUGAGGUUGCCAAGCCCCGAGUGAGCUACCCCUCAAAUGCCUCUUGUGCUCAUUCCUUCUUCUCCAUUCCCUGCCACUGCCCUUUUCAUCUCUUUCAGGGAGAUUGGAACCCUGUCCCCAGCCCUUGCCCUCCUGUCCCUUCUUGCUACCUGAGUGAUCUUUCUGCACCACAAAUUUGUUCAACCUACAGUUGACUUCACAGCCUCCAAUGGACCCACCUCUGCAUUCGAGGAUUGAUGCCUCUCUUUACAAGCUUCUUUCCAGUAGUUUCCACCCUAUCCCCCAUCUUCCAGCCCCGUGGAGGCGAUGAUGUGCUUUCUGAAUGUACCAAACACUGUCAGGAUCCAUGUCUGUACUCCUGCUAUGAACUCAGCCUGGACCCCUGGCCUCUCUUGCUGGCUGACUCCUAUCCUUCCUUUAAAACCCAGUUCAGCAUCACCCACUUUGGGGGCCCCUGCCCAUCUAGCUGCCAGUGUUUCCACUGUGCUCUUCCUGAAAGCUGUUGUCUUCCUUAGCGUCUGAUGAUCCGGCUUGGUCCUUGGCGCCCCUACCUCCUCUACUGCAUUGGGACCUUUUCAAGACCAGCGCCAUGCUUCCUUACCACCAUAUCCCCCCACCCUGCAUGGUUCUGGCACCUGCUAGGUGCUCAGUUGGUGUUGGUGAAAUUGAGUUUACAGGUAAGGAAGGAUAAAGGGACUCAGAGAGGUCAGUGACUGGCCAAGUACCAGGUAUCUGGUAAGAAGCCCAGUAAGUAACUCUCUCCUGUCACCAUGUCUCCCUGCAUCUCUGCUUGCUCUGGGGUCUCAGCACCACCCACAGCCCACAAACUGCCUCCCUAUUUCCAGCAUUCCACAUGUCUUUUUCUUCCAAAACCUUCCUUCCUUCUCCAUGUCUCCUCCAGCAGCUGCUCAACAGCCUUGGACCAGUAGGGCCAUUGGACAGCCUCGAUCUGGAAGAUUGGGGCUCAGGGAGAACCAGGUUCCAAACCAUGGAAAACUCCAUGUUUCUUCCUUCCCAUGAGACAUUUUUCUAAAUAAACAAGGUUCUCAAAGUUGCAAUAAAUAACCACUCAUCCAGGCAAGCUCAUGCUUAGGUGUUUUACACUAAGAAUCGAGGGAGCCAUAGUGAAGACCAGAAUUUUCACCCCCACAACCAGGGCAGGUGCCAACUCCCCCACCGCAAAAUUAUGUCCACCUGGAAGCUCAGAAUGGGACAUUACAUGGAAUUAUAUCUUUGUAGAUGUAAUCAGUGUUAGGAUGUUGAGAUGAGCUCAUCCUGGGCUGUAAAUCCAAGGGCAGGUGUCCUUACAAGAGAGAAAGGAGACAAUGCACAGAGGCACAGGAGAGAAAGCCGCGGGAGGAUCCCCGUGAGGACAGGCAGAGGGUGGAGCGAUGGGUCUUCAAGCCAAGGAACACCAAGAAGUUCUGACAGCGAUGGGCAGCCAGGAGACAGGCCUGGGGCAGAUUCUCUCAGAGCCUCCAGAAGGAACCAAUCCUCCUGACCUGCUGAUUUCAGACUUCUGGUCUCUAGAGUUCUGAGAGAACAAAUUUCUCUUGCUUUAAGCCACCCAAUUUGUGGUCAUGUGUUACUUAGGCACCCUAGGAAAUGACUCCAACCAGGCAGUGUGAAGCCCCCGCAGGGUCACAGGGAGCAGGAGGCUGGGGACACCUCGCCCCUCCCCAUCAUGUGUGGGCACCCCACUCAGCAUCUCACCCCAGAACCUCUAAGCUUCUCUCAGUCUCUUGCUACCCUCCGGCUGCUGCCAGCCCACCCAUCCCCCUCUCCUUGGUGUCUCCAUCCCAGGCCACACACAGCCUCCGUUUGUUCCAUGCCCUGCAGCCUGAGCUGCACCACGUCCCUCUGCUCGGUAGUCCUUCCAUUUCUGUUACGUAUGAUGACCAGCCAACUCUCUCAGCACAUUUAAGCUUUCCAAAGAUGAUCUAAUGAUGGCUAACUAUUCUUACCCCUGAUGGGUGAAGAUUUCACUCCAGGCCAGCUCACAGGCAGUAGCCCCGGGUCCCACUCACCUUGGAAGAUGAGCUUGUCCACUGUGGCCAGUGAGGCAGGUCACAUGUUCCAGCAUGGGGAGGGAGACUCUGAGCAGGCAGGACAGAUGGCCAGAGGCAACCCCAGGUUGGUGACACCUUCACCAUGGAGACGAAACUUUCUGCAGAAUUGAAUAAUAUGCAGUAGGAAGGGGAAAGGGAAAAGGGAAGAAGCACUCUUUUAAAGGUAAGAAGGAAAGUGUCAAUAACUGAAGCUUUUGAAAAGUCAAAAUUGCAGCCCACUUGCCAUCCUUUCCAGAGGACAGCUGUCUUUAAUGAGCUGCUCAGAAGUGCACAUUGCUCUGGGUCAGUGUGACAGCUAUUGGUGGCGGAUGGAGUAGAUUAAGAGAGGGUGGGCAGGAGAGGUGGGCUGCCAGGGGUAUUGGCAGAGGGUAUGGGACAAUGGCUCUGGUGCGUUGGGCUGCUUUUACUAUAAUCCCACUCCCUGAAUGCUUCCUGCAUGCAGCACUAUGCUAAAGACAUUGUCCAGACAUCCUGUCAUUCACUCUCCCCCUGGUCCUGGGGGUGGGUGUCAGUGUAGAGCUUGUACGGAUCAGGGAAUGCAGGUGUGAAUGUCCGAAGUCACAGACAAGUAGGUGAUGGAGUCAGGAUUUGAGGUCAGGUCCGAGGGAGCUAAAGACACAUCCGAGUGUGCCACGCUUCUGAUGUGGAGCCUGGGAUAUUGUGGGGACAAGUGGUGAUAUUUGAAUAUGGAAUCCAGCAGAUAGUUUGUUAUCAGUGUUAAAUUUUCUGAUUUUGAUAACUAUUCUAUGGAAAUGUAGGAGAAGUUCUUAUUCUUAAGAAAUACACACUGAUGUAUUUAAGAGUAAUAGAGACCAACUUACUCUCAAAUAGUUAAAGAAGAAAAACAGAAUGACAAAGUGAAUAGGACAAAAUGAAGCCACUGGAGAACCUGAGGGAGGGGAUCAGAGAGUAAGCAGGGGAUCCUUGACUAUCCUCACACUCUUUGCAUUUGAAAGAAUAUUAAAAUUAAAAUUGUAAAGACAAUUCUACAGCCCUAGCUCUUUUUAUUUUUUAAAGCAGCUUUAUUGAGGUAUAAUUUCCAUACAUAAACUGCACAUUUUCUAAGUGUAUGCUUUGAUAAGUUUUGACAUAUGUAUAUACCCAGAAAGUCAUCACACCAUCAAGAAAGUGAACAUACCCAUCACACCCAAAAUUCUCCUCCUGCUCCUUUGUAACUAUUCCCUAUCACCCCCUUCCCACCCCCACCCCCAGUCCCAGGAAACUGCCUUCUGUUGCUAUAGAUUAAUUUGCAUUUCCUAGAAUUUUAUAUAAAUGGUAUCAUAUAGUAUGUACUCUUUUUUUUUGGUCUGGCUUCUUUCACUUGCAUAAGUAUUUUGAUUUUUCUCCAUGUUACAGUAUGUAUCAGUAGCUAAUUGCUUUUGUGGCUGAGUAGUAUUCCAUCGAAUGGACAUACCACUGUUUAGUCAUUCCUCUGCCGAUGGAUAUUUGGGCUGUUUUCAGUUUUUGAUGAUUAUGAAUA